rnacentral:rRNA from 1 species
UACAGAGGGGGCAAGCGUUGUUCGGAAUUACUGGGCGUAAAGGGCGCGUAGGCGGCCUGUUAAGUCAGACGUGAAAUCCCUCGGCUCAACCGGGGAACUGCGUCUGAUACUGGCGGGCUUGAAUCCGGGAGAGGGAUGUGGAAUUCCAGGUGUAGCGGUGAAAUGCGUAGAUAUCUGGAGGAACACCGGUGGCGAAGGCGGCAUCCUGGACCGGUAUUGACGCUGAGGCGCGAAAGCCAGGGGAGCAAACGGG